CCUACGGGGGGCAGCAGUGAGGAAUAUUGGUCAAUGGACGAGAGUCUGAACCAGCCAAGUAGCGUGAAGGAUGACUGCCCUAUGGGUUGUAAACUUCUUUUAUAAAGGAAUAAAAUGAGGCACGUGUGCCUGUUUGCAUGUACUUUAUGAAUAAGGAUCGGCUAACUCCGUGCCAGCAGCCGCGGUAAUACGGAGGAUCCGAGCGUUAUCCGGAUUUAUUGGGUUUAAAGGGAGCGUAGAUGGGUUGUUAAGUCAGUUGUGAAAGUUUGCGGCUCAACCGUCAAAGUGCAGUUGAUACUGGCAGUCUUGAGUACAGUUGAGGUAGGCGGAAUUCGUGGUGUAGCGGUGAAAUGCUUAGAUAUCACGAAGAACCCCGAUUGCGAAGGCAGCUUACUAAACUGUGACUGACAUUGAUGCUCGAAAGUGUGGGUAUCAAACAGGAUUAGAUACCCUUGUAGUC
rnacentral:rRNA from 1 species